rnacentral:rRNA from 1 species
GAUGAACGCUGGCGGCGUGCCUAAUACAUGCAAGUCGAACGAAACUUCUUUAUCACCGAGUGCUUGCACUCACCGAUAAAGAGUUGAGUGGCGAACGGGUGAGUAACACGUGGGCAACCUGCCCAAAAGAGGGGGAUAAUACUUGGAAACAGGUGCUAAUACCGCAUAACCAUAGUUACCGCAUGGUAACUAUGUAAAAGGUGGCUAUACUACCGCCUUUGGAUGGGCCCGCGGCGCAUUAGCUAGUUGGUAGGGUAAAGGCUUACCAAGGCAAUGAUGCGUAGCCGAAUUGAGAGGUUGAUCGGCCACAUUGGGACUGAGACACGGCCCAGACUCCUACGGGAGGCAGCAGUAGGGAAUCUUCCACAAUGGGCGAAAGCCUGAUGGAGCAACGCCGCGUGGGUGAAGAAGGUCUUCGGAUCGUAAAGCCCUGUUGUUAGAGAAGAAAGUGCGUGAGAGUAACUGUUCACGUUUCGACGGUAUCUAACCAGAAAGCCCCGGCUAACUACGUG